UUACAGGCAUGAGCCACCGAGCCCAGGAACAAAUGUUUCAAUAUCUGACCAUGUUAACACAUUACUAGGGCCCUAAAGGACACUGAAGCUUGAGCUGUGUAAGCAUCAUGGUAUAAGCAACCCCAAUGUGCCUCUGGGACCCCUCUGACUUUCAGUCUUUUCAUCCAUAUAAUGAUCAAAACAAUUCUAACAUAUGUAACCAGAUAUGUUAGAAUUUUUUUUGGUGAGAAUAGAUAUUUUUUUUGGUGAGAAUCAGAAAUGGACGAAGACGUAAAGCUUCUGGAACCUAAAAAUGCUGCCUACAGGGUCACGAUGAUGACCCUGAAGACCACAGUGACGUGGGUUGUGCAGGAACUCCCUAGACUUCUUUGGUUUUAGGGGUCAGCACUCCUACGGGGUCUAAUGUUCUGCCAAAAGCUUGCCCUUAGAGACCAGAAACUCUAAUAUGAGACCUUCCAAGCUUAAGGCUUUGAUCCCAGUUAAAUGACAUCUCUCUGGAAGGCAUGGCACGUGAGGCUGUAAUCAGUUUCCAUACCUUCCACCCCACCACUCCCCAGAGAGAAAUGUGACAAUGAGCUUUAGCUCCGUAGAAUCCGGACUUCAUGGAACCUCUCUGGGUUGGCUUCUCAAUCAAUUUCAGAGCUGUGAGCUGAAAAAAAAUAGCAAGAGAGAGGCCAGAGUUAUUCAGGAGACUUCUGCUUUGCUGGGGGCUUCCACAGCCCUGACCAACCGUCCUGGGGUCACUGCUGAGACAGCAGCGUGAACAAGGGCAAAGAGACCCCAGAGACUGCAUCUGAACGGUCGGAACCCCAGGGCUUUAAACCCUUUGCUCCAAUGAGCUUAGAGCCAUAAUAUGAUAAUCCAAAAUGAUGAGAGAGUAAGUGGCAAGUAUACCUAGACAUAUUCUGAGCCCAGCAGACAGAAUUUUGGUUUAAGGAGCACCUGGGUAGUUUAAUGACACAUGCUAUUUUUUCUAUAUAGGCAUCAUAGUCUAUGAAUUGUAACAAUUCAUCCUAUCUCAAGAAGAUGGAGGUAUUUUAGAUAUAUGUGUAUAUAUUUGAAAUCAAAACUGUUUAUUUUGUAUAAGUUUUUUUGUGUCUAUUAGUUUCUGAAUAUCUGUGUAUAAAAACUUCUGUUUCUUUGCCUGUAUACAUUCUUGGAUAUGCACAUAUACACCUAUGUGGGAUGGGUUAGGGUCAUGUGCGUAUUUGUUUGCAUUUAUCUUGCUUUGGUCUUAGGAAGGGAUCUUGGUGAUCAUCCUAGCUCAACUCUUUCACCUCACUGGUGAAGAAACUGAAGUCCAGAAAGGCAAGGUGACUUGUCACAGGUCACACAGCCGGCUAUGGAGACAGAAAUGAACCAAGAACCUAGGAUUUCAAUUUGUAGAUGAGGACCCUUUCUGUAAUAUUAAAAUCAAUUGUAAACCUGGGGGAAGGAAGGAGGGAGAUCCUUUUUUUUUCCUCCCCCAAUCGAUACAUAAGUACUAAGAAGCUCAAUCUUGAAUUAGCUGUAGAAUAUCAAAAGUUAAGUUUUUCACACCGACCUGGUUCAGUAUUGAUUCCUUUUAUGAAAACUCUAUUUAUACUCAAGUUGUCAAAGAAUUCCAGAGGGCAUAUGAAGCUUUUGUUAAAAUAAUUAUAAGCCUUUGUUUUUGAAGAAAAGUAUCCAAAAUAUAUAAGCUUAUUGUUUGAGUUAAACAAUAAAAACAUCUGUUGUUUCUCA